UACGUAGGUGGCGAGCGUUGUCCGGAUUUACUGGGCGUAAAGAGCGCGCAGGCGGCCUGAUCAGUCGAAUGUGAAAGCCCCCGGCUCAACUGGGGAGGGUCAUUCGAUACUGUCAGGCUAGAAGGCAGGAGAGGGAAGUGGAAUUCCCGGUGUAGUGGUGAAAUGCGUAGAUAUCGGGAGGAACACCAGUGGCGAAGGCGACUUUCUGGCCCGGUACUGACGCUGAGGUGCGAAAGCGUGGGGAGCAAACAGG
rnacentral:rRNA from 1 species